GCUGGCCUAGAAAACCUCUUCACUACACACAACAAAUGCCUGAACUUCUUCUGGCCUUUGACCAGGUGCUGGAGAUGCCACAGCAAGUGAGAAGCGAGCCCCUGGGCCCCCAAGGUUGCUGACCCUGUGAAAGCUGCCUUCUGCAGUCCAGGCUGUGUGGGCCUGGCUGCCAGGGUGUAGCGCUGCUCAUGGGGCUUGAGGCCUAGCUGGAAAACCGGGUUCAGCCAGCCGUGGGGUCUCGUCACCACAUGCGUCGUCCUUCUGGAAGUAGCUGGUCUCCAGUCCUUCAAUAUAGGCUGCACCUAAAAGCAAAAAUGGAAAAUAGGUUUUACGAAUGGAGAACACAUUUUUGAAAUGGUUUUUUUAACAUUUUGGAUAAAGAUUCAUGUUGGGACUAUUUUUAGAUGAAUUGUUCCUCCUACUUGUCAUACUGCUUUUCUGGGGGAAAGAAAUAUUUUUAAGAAGAGCAACUCUUAGUUUUUUCCUCGGGCCUCAAGCACUAUGUGUUUCUCCCUGCAUGUGCUGGCCAUCUACAGGAGAAUUUCCUGGGCCUCUGAAGCCAUGGUCCAGGAACUUCCCAGCCCAGGCCCAGGAACGGUGUCCUGGCCGACGAGAUGCAGCCUCCCUCCACUGGGCCACAGCUGGUCGGAUGAGCCAUGAGCUUCCAGCAUGAGCAGGGUUAUCAGAUCCUGUGCUCUGGAAAUUGGGGACUGGGACUCAGCAGGUAAGUACACCUGGGAGCCAGGCCAGGCCCUCCGUGUGGAUGACUCUGCAGAGAGCAGGGCGGUCGGGUGCGCAGAGGCCCAGCUGGCCUCCCUGGGACUCACAGCUUCAUGACCAGAUUCCUCUGUCCAGUUUAUCCUGAACCAUUACCUCGACUUGCACACUUAACUUUCUCUGUCUUUAGGAAGGCUGAGAAUCAAAAGCCCUUUCUGGCAAUAUGACUACAGAAGUUUCUGUACAGCUCAGCCAUAUGCAAUUUCUGACACCUGGGCUGCAGGAAAUAAUGAAAUUUCCCCAUCCUUCAUCUUUUCUCUUCUCUUCCCUGAGCCAAAGGAAAACACAGGAGACAGCACAUCUAGUCGUGCCUGGGGGACAAGGCGUUUCUAUGUCAGUGACAUGAGUCCUCAGAUGCGCCAAUCAGAGGAUCUGCCUUGACCUUUGCCUUGUGUGCGUCACGUAUGUACCAUGCUUGUUUGGCAAAGCUGCCUUGUCAUGACACUGACAGAGGGCCGCCGAAUUUGGGGUUGCGGUGUCUGCCCAAAUAUACCAUACCAUUUCCGAUGCUUUUAAUUUCCAAAAUACUGGGAGAAUUUUCACAAACUGUUGCUCCAAAUUAGCCGCUAACAUGAAAACAACUAAUCGCACUGGACUUCCCAAACACUGCAACUUAUGUUCCUGAAAGAGGCCUCCUCACUUUCAGAGACCAGGGUCACUGCACCUCCUGGUCUCCACCUGCAGCCCCUUCCUUAAUGCAGGGACAGCCAGACCAGGAAGCACCCAGGCAGGAAGUGUGUUCAUGAGCAGGUGCACACACAUGCAUGUAUGUGAGUGUGUGAGCACAUGCACAUGUGUAUGUGAGCAGAAACAUGUGAGCAUGUAUGUAUGUGAUAUGCACGUGUGUGAGUGUAUGGACAGGUGUACAUGUUUGCAUGUAGAUGACUGUGAGCAGUUGCACUGUGAGUGUGCAUGAGCAUGUGUGCAUUUAUGUGAGUGUACGUGGAGAGUACUGGUAUGAGAGUUGACUUAGAGGUCAGUGAGAGGGUAUAGAUGAUCUUAAAAGUGACUUCAGUGACCUAAGAACCUAACUUGCUAAUGGCUACAUCACGCUGUAAUGCAGGGAAGGGUGAAUGUUUCAAAAAUGGUGUUUGAGGAACUCAAGUUUUGUUUGUAUAAAGUUAGAAUAUUAUCUCUACCAUAUCCCCAAAUAAUCUCCCAAUGUAUUUUGUUAAAAAAUAAGUAACCAACCCACAAGGUGAAAUGUACAGGUGGAGGUAAAAUAGUUCUACCAUUUUGGAAGACAAGGAGAAGGUGGAUUAAUGGUAACAGAUGAGUGGAUACAGCGGUGGGAGAAGCAGGUACAGUCUGACUCUGCUGCAGAGUCAAGACCCCCAUGUAACGGGGACCAUGAGCAGAGAUGCAGACACGCAAGUGGGCAAAUUCUACUUGAAAAGAAAUUCCAAGACCUGAUAGCCUCUCAAUUACAGGCCUUUGGGGACAGGGCUGACCUCACUGUGGCAGAUACUUGUGACAUUUAAGGGACACCAAGUUCUACUGAGAGCAUGACAUCUGUCCCCAGAAUGUAAUCCAGCUCUCGUUUGCAUUAUGAGGGAUGCACAUGGAGCUCCUCCCCUGGCCCUCUUUCCCCAUUUAGCUCCUACAGGUUGGCCCAAAGGGGGGAACUGGAGGGUGUUCUGCCCAUCAGCACAUACAGCUCCCAGUGCUCCCAGCCCGUAGUUCAAUCAGAGCACCCCUACUACGGGCCAGAUGUAUCAAGCACUGCUGAUGCCCUCUGAGCUUCCAGUCCCCUGGUCUUAGGCGUGAGCAGACUCCCGGGAUGGAAUGGCUCCUAAGGGAGCCUCCAGCCUUGGAGGCUGAACCCAAAGCACAGCCGGAAGGAACAGAAACGAUGCCAGCAGAGAAAAGGGAAACUGCCACUGACAUACCUGGAGAGACAUGAAGGCAUUGCUCCAGUGAACCAGGAACAGGGCACCAUGUAAAAGGAACACCCAGAAAAAGAAUGAUUCGGGAAGAAAAUCUGCCAGCAGAAAGUAAAAGCUCACUAAAAGAUUUGAAAGACAAAUAAAUAAAUUAAUUAAAAGAUGGAACAUAGAAGAAAAAAAUAAAAUAUCGUAAGAUCAGCCCAGAAGUUUCAACAUACAAGUUAGAGGAGCCAUAGAUGGAGAAAAGAAAGGCAAUGGAAAAACUCACAACAAAGUAAUUCAAGACAAUUUCUCAGGCCAGUGAGACUCGAGGGAAAGAUAGACAGAUCUGGCCAGGUGCCCAGCACCCCAGAUGAAAACAACCCCACCAGGGCAUGUGAUGAAAAACAGGGCACUUGGGAGUGAGAGGGACAUGCUUGGCAUCUCAAAUACAAAGGCACGGACAGGCUUGGGACUUAAAGGAAUGCCUGGAGGUAAGAAGACAGCGGAGGAGCACCAUGGUGGUUCUGAAGGAAAAUCACUACCAACAUCAAAUUCCACACCCAGUAAAAUUACACACCAAGCGGCAGGAUAGAAGAAAAACAUUUUUAGAUAUGCAAGAUCUUAAAAACUUAUUUGCCUGUGUUCCUUUUCUCAAGAAGCUAGUGGAUGAUUUGCUUCAAAAAAUUGAAAGGAUAAACCAAAAAAUCAAGUGCAUGGGAAAGAAAAUGGGGUAUGCUGCAAGGGGCAUGUGUGGGGGACCCCAGGUGACACCUGGGCACCCAACCCAGGUCCUUGCAGCCUGGGUCACAGCCUUUCACCCCAGGACAGGAGCUUCGUCUGGUUAGCUUGACAGGGAAAUGAGGUCCCCUCCCUCUGCCACACACCCUGCCCUGGGUCAGCAGAGGACACUCGCUCACCAUGAGGGACAAUCCACUGUAAGCAGAGGACAAAGAUCUGCUCGAAUUCCUGCUCCUGGUCUGAUGGUUGCCAAGCAAACGCAGUGAAGCCAUGAGGCCUGGCUUGCUGUCAUCCUCGCCUGGGCCCUUGUGCGUCUCAGGAAAGCUGAGAUCUUCACAGCCCAGAGACACUCGCAUCCCCCGGAAGCUUCCUGUUGGCACACAGCCAGCAUGUGCUGGCUGCUCUCGGAUUCCCAUGGCAAACUGGACACAUUCACACAUGUGCACGUAUGUCUUGGAUAUAUGUACAACCAUGCACACACACUUUAGGUAGAGUACACAAACCACACACAUCUUCCAUGCAUGCAUCCUAUGUGUGCACACUGACAGAUGGAUUUUCCCACCCUGUAUGCGCAUGCAACUGGUCAGAUUGGUGGGGGAGGCCUAAGCGUGCCCCGCUUUGGGGAUGCGGCAGAAGAUUUGACAGCAGAAGGACUUUUUUCUUAUCAGCUGGGGUAAGUUUAAAUUUCUGUUUAAUUGAAAAAUAAUACUUGAAAGUUCUCCUUAAAAUAGUAGAACCUUACAAAAAAGUGUCAAUAACAGAUUUCUCCCCUGUUCCCUCCCCUGAAAUCUAGUGUGUGUUUUCAAUUCAUUUAAAAAGCAUAGCUAGAUCAAUAGAUGAUGGAUAGAUGCUAGAUGCUAUAUGUAUAUACAACUGAACAUUAUUGUUUUUGAUCCAGAAUAAAAUGUGACUAUGAGGUAGGACAUGAUUUGUUGGCUGUCAUGUCAACAGAUUUAUUUGUCACACAGGACUAGUGUCCUCAAGUGAAUGCAGUGGUACCAAAUGCUCACUGGCAUGUUCUGCACUCUGGUUAAAAUUCAGUUUUAUGGCCCAAAAUUAGUAGUGGUGCUGUUGCUUUAACAGUUAGGCUGAGAAUGUAGCCUUAAUUAUCUUUCUGGUCAUAAGUAUAUAAUAAGCUAGACAGAAAUAAAUAGAAAAUCAGUAUUGACAAUUGAGUGGAGUUACUUGAUGGCAAAAGAAAAUGGGAGAGAAAAGACAGAGGUGGAUGACAUCAUUUGAAAUUCUUAAGAUCCCCGGGAUUUUGGUAACUGCAGGAUGAUGGCAACCUUACCAGGUUUGCAGAGGAAUGGCUUUGAUUAGUCUUGAGCUGAGAGGGGUGGGCCUGCAGGUAUUUUUGCAUUUGACAAACAUUUCUAAUUAAAA